AGGAACUGCAUUCAAAACUUAUAGACUAGAGUACGAUAGAGGAGAGUAGAAUUCCUGGUGUAGCGGUGAAAUGCGUAGAUAUCAGGAGGAAUACCAAUGGCGAAGGCAACUCUCUGGAUCGACACUGACGCUGAGGUGCGAAAGCGUGGGUAGCAAACAGGAUUAGAUACCCUGGUAGUCCACGCCGUAAACGAUGAGAACUAGCCGUUGGAUCUUAGAUUCAGUGGUACAGCUAACGCAUUAAGUUCUCCGCCUGGGGAGUACGGCCGCAAGGCUAAAACUCAAAUGAAUUGACGGGGGCCCGCACAAGCGGUGGGGCAUGUGGUUUAAUUCGAUGCAACGCGAAAAACCUUACCAACCCUUGACAUCUAGUGAAAUUUCUAGAGAUAGAUUUGUGCCUUCGGGAACACUAUGACAGGUGUUGCAUGGCUGUCGUCAGCUCGUGUCGUGAGAUGUAUGGUUAAGUCCAGUAACGAGCGCAACCCCUAUUCUUAUUUGCCAGCACUUCGGGUGGGAACUAUAAGGAGACCGCCGUGUAUAACACGGAGGAAGGCGGGGACGACGUCAAGUCAUCAUGGCCCUUACGGGUUGGGCUACACACGUGCUACAAUGGGAGAUACAGAUGGUUGCGAAAGCGCGAGCUGGAGCUAAUCCCAAAAAGUCUUCCUCAGUCCGGAUUGGAGUCUGCAACUCGACUCCAUGAAGCAGGAAUCGCUAGUAAUCGUGAAUCAGAAUGUCACGGUGAAUACGUUCUCGGGCCUUGUACACACCGCCCGUCACGUCAUGGGAGUGUGUUGCACCAGAAGUGGUUUGCCUAACCUUUGGAGGGCGGCCCCCACGGUGUGAUACGCGACUGGGACGAAGUCGUAACAAGGUAGCCGUA
rnacentral:rRNA from 1 species